UACGAAGGGGGGCUAGCGUUGCUCGGAAUCACUGGGCGUAAAAGCGCACGUAGGCGGAUUGUUAAGUCAGGGGUGAAAUCCUGGAGCUCAACUCCAGAACUGCCUUUGAUACUGGCGAUCUUGAGUCCGGGAGAGGUGAGUGGAACUGCGAGUGUAGAGGUGAAAUUCGUAGAUAUUCGCAAGAACACCAGUGGCGAAGGCGGCUCACUGGCCCGGUACUGACGCUGAGGUGCGAAAGCGUGGGGAGCAAACAGGG
rnacentral:rRNA from 1 species